UUCUUAUUCAUUUUUUCAAGAUUAAGUAAUUUCUCCUCCUCUAUGUUCUUCGUUACCAGAGGAUAGGAUGAACAGCCCGGAGACUGGUACGACACUCUUACGGUGGCCCUGUUUGGAUAAGGAACGAACAAAAUCUAGAAUAUAAGACAAUUAUCUGUAUUUUAUUUUCAUGACUCCCCAUUUUGGAUAAGGAACCAAUGAACCUUCCAUCUUUCCCCUUCCAAUUGCCAUCAUCAUAUUCAUUCCACCUUUUCAGUGCCCUCUGUUUUCUCAGAUUCACACCAAAAAUUCAACACUUUUACGGCUCCCAUUAACCAGAUCUAAACAGAUUUCGUCGAGUGGUCUUACCCGAUUCAUAUCUCAAAUUACUUGUCGAUUCUGUUCGAUUUGAAUAUUCGGCAAGUGGGAUUGAGACCUUGUGGACAGUAAGUUAAAUUAUUUAAGAAUUUACUUCUGGUUUUUGUCAGUAUUAGGGAUUGCCGAUUGAUUGUCUUUUGGCUUCAAAUCUAUAUCUCUUUCAUUCAAUUACACAAAAUAAAAAUUAUUUGAACAGAUACUCAGAUUAGUAAAUUGAUAAACAGAGUCAAGCCGAACAGAUGGUGGGUUUGGAUGCUUUAUUUCUGGUUUGUUUUCAAUCUUUUUGUGUGAAUUUCACAACUGGGUUUUGUGUAAUCCAACAACUUUCUUAUCGAUUUUUGACCUGUGAUUAAGUGAUCUGUGUGGGAUUAUUGUUUUGUUUUUUAUAAAGUAAUUAAAAGUAAAGGGGAAGGGAAAUUACCAAUUUACCCAUUAUGUGCAUGUCAUGUGACUAAUAAUUAACAGGGUUUAGGGUUGAGUUAGACUCAGGGGCCAAAAUAGUUAGUUAUAGAGACCAUGAGGGCACAUAUGUUAAAAAUUCUUAUUUUGGGCUAAUAUAGUAAAACUCAUAUAACCACAGAGGCCAAAAACGUAAUUUACUCUAUACAAAACAUAAAACUUUCAACAAAAAAAAAAAUUAACUUCGCCAACUAUAAACUUUUUAGUUUAUAAUUGCUGGUCUCAAGCCCGGGUAAAGGAGAAAGGUUUUGUUACUAAAUAUGUUAAAUGGGUAAUUUUGCAAAAAAGGCCUCCACUUCAAAGUUCGCUUAAGGUCUCCAAAAACCUAGAAACGGCCUUGAUCCAACCUCAAAGGAGUUACUUCAAAAACCAAAUAGCUCAUACGCAUCUCGCAUGAGGCUAUUCUUGUUUUCCUAUAUCAUCAAGUGUAGUUUGUUUACAUGGCUCAUAUGCAAUAUUUCAUUGGAAUGCUAAGAAUUUCAAAUUAAUUCAUUAGUGACAUACAGAGGUGC
rnacentral:lncRNA from 1 species